UACGUAGGGGGCAAGCGUUGUCCGGAAUCAUUGGGCGUAAAGAGCGUGUAGGCGGCUCGGUAAGUCCGCUGUGAAAGUCCAGGGCUCAACCCUGGAAUGCCGGUGGAAACUGUCGGGCUAGAGUCCGGAAGAGGCGAGUGGAAUUCCUGGUGUAGCGGUGAAAUGCGCAGAUAUCAGGAGGAACACCUAUUGCGAAGGCAGCUCGCUAAGACGUAACUGACGCUGAGACGCGAAAGCGUGGGGAGCAAACAGG
rnacentral:rRNA from 1 species